AGAAGAGUUACCUGGGUAAGGCUUGGACUGGGAGACAGGCACUGGUGUUGACAGAGGACAGGCCACUGGGUGACACUGUUCUCCACCUGCCCACUGUCUGAGAUGCUUGGUUCCUGACUUGGUUCUCAUCAAGGGCGAUGACGGCCUCCUGUGGGUCCUGAAGCCAAGGAGCAGAGAGCUUGAGGCUGUGCUGGGGAGGAGUCCUGCAGGCGCUGAAUAGACACCAGCUCUCUUCUGUGGCCUGGGAAAGCAGUGGAAGAUGGCCCAAAUCCUUGUGCCCCUGCACCACAUGGGAGACCCAGAAGAGGCUCCAGGUUCCUGGCUUUGGAUCGACACAGCUCCAGCCAUUGCGGCCAGUUGGG